CCUACGGGUGGCUGCAGUGAGGAAUAUUGGUCAAUGGGCGCGAGCCUGAACCAGCCAAGUAGCGUGAAGGAUGACUGCCCUACGGGUUGUAAACUUCUUUUAUAAAGGAAUAAAGUGAGGCACGUGUGCCUGUUUGUAUGUACUUUAUGAAUAAGGAUCGGCUAACUCCGUGCCAGCAGCCGCGGUAAUACGGAGGAUCCGAGCGUUAUCCGGAUUUAUUGGGUUUAAAGGGAGCGUAGAUGGGUUGAUAAGUUAGUUGUGAAAUUUUGCGGCGCAACCGUAAAAUUGCCAUUGAUACUGGCCGUCUUGAGUACAGUUGAGGUAGGCGGAAUGCGUGGUGUAGCGGUGAAAUGCUUAGAGAUCACGCAGAACUCCGAUUGCGAAGGCAGCUUACUAAGCUGCCACUGACAUUGAUGCUCGAAAGUGUGGGUAUCAAACAGGAUUAGAUACCCCUGUAGUC
rnacentral:rRNA from 1 species